CAAUUUUGACUAGUUUUAUUAUUAACAAAUCAAAAAGAAAAAGCUAUCAUUUUUCUCUUCUCCUUCACCGAAAUAUGCAGAAAAGAAAGAGUUUUGAAGCUGGAAAAUUUCAGCAACAUAUUUCCCUUGCUUGUAAGUGAUUUUAAUGUCUUUGCUUGAUGAUUUUUACAUUUUUGGAACCCCUAAAGCAUGAGCUUUCAUAAGAUGGGACUAUUUUGCAAAAUGAUGAAGAGUCUAGGGUUUUGCCAUGAGAGUAAAUGUGUUGUUUUCUGUGUUUUUAUGGAAGAUUAUGAGUCCUAGUUGUCUAAUAAACAACUUUUGUGAAAGAAAUUGCAUGAAAACACCUUUAAAAAGGGCUAGAUUGCUAAGUUGUAAAAUGAGUUGUAAUGUGUAAAAUAGUUGAAAUUAUGAGUUGCUAUAGUGAUGAAAAUGGUUCAUAUAGACUCAAGGAGUAAAGAAAUGUGAUAAAAAUUAUUUUACGAGCAUUGGGGCAAAAGUGCAAAUAUGCAAAAGUUUAGGGGUCAAAAUAAAAAUUUGUAAAAAUAUGAGUUUUAGACCCAUAUGAAUAUUGUGACUGAUUGGUAGGCUAAAUGUGAUAUUAUAGAUCAAGGAAAUCGAGAUUUGGACCUAGAACGGAAAGAAAUCGAUUAAGGGAUGAUUAUGUCCUUUUCACCUUUGUGGUAUCGAGGUAAGUUUGUAUGUAAAAAAUAUCAUGCUAUACAUGUAUUUAAAUGUUAUCAUGACAUGAAUUGUACAUAUAUUAAGUGUAUGUGGUUAAUAGAAAUAUGAUAAGACAAAGCCUUAAUAGACAAGAAAAAAUCCCGUUUGAACCUUAGGAAUAGAAUAGGAUACGAGUGACAUGUCACUAAGAAUUAUGAGUCUAGAUGACUAGCUUGAGAGUGAGCAUUGAAAUGUCAUGAGAUAUUAGGUAGCUUUAGCUACAAUUGAGGCACUUAUGUGCAAAGGCUUUUUCGAGUAUCCAAUUAGUAUUCCAAGUGUUCAACGGGUAAUCCGAGGAAAGAGUUGAUGAUGGUCCCAAUGAGGUAAGUCAUUGGUGAGUAUGCACUUGAGUUAUGUUACGAGUUGUGCAAGUAUGUAUACUAAGCCUAUGAGAAUGCCUUGAUAUGUGAUGAUCUAUGAUGCAUAAUAUGUGUUCUUACCAUGAUGGAUGAAAUGAUGUUGUAUUAAUUUUGUGAACAAUGAUCAUGAAUGAAUAACUUAGCCUUGACAGAUUUGAGUUACUUAAGUAGUGUAAUUUUGAAAAUACACUAAAAAUAGUAGAAAAUGAGUUAGAGGCAGAAUAAAAUAUAGGAUUAAAGCUUAAUGAGUCUAUUUUCACAUGAAAGAAACAUGGGAAGAAAAAGAAAUCUAUAUUGUGUGAUAUUUGAAUUCUUGUAAAAUAGGGUCUGAAUGAAUUCGAGAUCCCCUGUUCUGACUUUAGAAAUUCACCAGAAAUUGUUAAAAAAUUAUUAAGAGUCAUAACUUACAUGAAUGGAUUUCUUAUUGAGUCUAUUUUUAAGGGAAACAAACAGAAUGGUCAUUGGAUUUCUGUACAGGGAGAAAUUCGAUUUGCAGUGCACAAGGGUCAGAGUAGUCAUACCCUAAAACAGGGGAGACUUUAACUAAUAAACUGUACUAAAUGACUCAACCAAAAAUUCUGGAAAUUUUAUGGAAGAAAGAUAAAUGAGUCUAGUUUCAGAGAAAAUUUAAAGAACUUAAUUCGGAGUUUUGUAUCUCCAGAGAUAAAUAAUUUAGUGACUAUUGCGCAGGAAGACUGCUUGUCGUGAACUUGAGAAUAUGUUGUAAACAUUGAUAAAACAAGUUAAUGAGUUGCUUAUUGUUUUCAUAUGAACUUACUAAGCAAAAACUUACCCCCCUUCUUUCCCAUGUUCUCUAGGGUUUCUAGGUUUGUUCAGGUUGGAGUUCGUCGGAGAUAUUAUCACGCUGUUAAGCUAAUGCUAUUGGUGUAGUGAUUUCAAGUACUUUGAGUCUAUGGCAUGUAUAGGAGUUUAAAUAUUGGAGUAUGUGAUAUGGCUUUGACCAUAUGUGUUGGCCUAUUUUGAUUAUGGGAUUGUAAAUUCAUUUUAAUUAUACAUGCAUGUGCUAUGGUAUUACGUG
rnacentral:lncRNA from 1 species